UACGAAAGGGGCAAGUGUUAUUCGAAAUUAUUGGGCGUAAAGAGUACGUAGGCGGCUUAUUAAGUUAUUUGUUAAAGACCUUAGCUCAACUAAGGUAUACCAAUUAAUACUAAUAAGAUAGAAUAGGAUAGAGGAUAGUGGAAUUUCUAAUGGAGGAUUAAGCCCUGUAGAUAUUAGAAGGAACAUCGGUAGCGAAGGCGACUAUCUGGAUCUUGAUUGACGCUGAGGUACGAAGGCGUAGGUAGCGAAUAGG
rnacentral:rRNA from 1 species